CCUACGGGAGGCAGCAGUGAGGAAUAUUGGUCAAUGGACGAGAGUCUGAACCAGCCAAGUAGCGUGAAGGAUGACUGCCCUAUGGGUUGUAAACUUCUUUUAUAAAGGAAUAAAACGAGGCACGUGUGCCUGUUUGCAUGUACUUUAUGAAUAAGGAUCGGCUAACUCCGUGCCAGCAGCCGCGGUAAUACGGAGGAUCCGAGCGUUAUCCGGAUUUAUUGGGUUUAAAGGGAGCGUAGGUGGGUUGUUAAGUCAGUUGUGAAAGUGUGCGGCUCAACCGUAAAAUUGCAAUUGAUACUGGCAGUCUUGAGUACAGUUGAGGUAGGCGGAAUGCGUGGUGUAGCGGUGAAAUGCUUAGAUAUCACGAAGAACCCCGAUUGCGAAGGCAGCUUACUAAACUGUGACUGACAUUGAUGCUCGAAAGUGUGGGUAUCAAACAGGAUUAGAUACCCUUGUAGUC
rnacentral:rRNA from 1 species